rnacentral:misc_RNA from 1 species
AACGCACAUUGCGCCCCUUGGUAUUCCAUGGGGCAUGCCUGUUCGAGCGUCAUCUAAACCCUCAAGCCCCUCGGCUUUGCCCUUGCGGAGCCUGGCUUGGUGUUGGGUGUCUGUCCUCGCUCCCAGAGCGGACUCGCCCCAAAUGCAUUGGCAGCGUCCCCUAGCCGCACGCGCAGCACAUUGCGCAGUGGGGCAUGGUGUGGCGCGCUUCCAGCAAGUGAACCCCCAAGUUUGACCUCGGAUCAGGUAGGGAUACCCGCUGAACUUAA